GUCGACGGCAGCGGCGGCGGCGGGUGGGAAAUGGCGGAGUAUCUGGCCUCCAUCUUCGGCACCGAGAAAGACAAAGUCAACUGUUCAUUUUAUUUCAAAAUUGGAGCAUGUCGUCAUGGAGACAGGUGCUCUCGGUUGCACAAUAAACCGACGUUUAGCCAGGUUUGUUUGCCUUUUUUUUCAUGUAAAUUAUAAAAACUUCAUGUUCUUUUCAAUGACAGUUAAUUUCUACAUAUUAAGCAAGUCAUUUUUUCUCUCGUAGUUGUAUUUUCCAUUUGUGUUCAUAAGUGUGUUCUUUUAUUUAAAUAAUAGUGAGGCAGGUGAUUCCACUUCCAGUGGAAGGUCUGAGACCACCACUCCUUGUUUUUAUCAUUAGAGAAACUUUAAAAAUCAGUUUUUGAUGUUUGUGUGUUGGCUGUGCCUGAUAUUUGCUGCCCUGCCAUCUUCCCUACCCCCUCUGAUAGACAUGGGUCCAGAGGGGGUGGCCGUGCCAGCCUUGGGUUAGCCUCCUCCAGGCACCAGUGGACACGGAGUGGGCUUUCUGCUCUUUGCUGUCUCCAGACAGUAGAGGUGAUGGAGCCACCUUCCAAGCUAGCGUGAUUGUCACCAGGCCCAUCAUGCUGCUCGAGCUUCUCUGGCUGCGUCCUCACUUUCACAUCCCUAGCUGAGGAAACAGCGAGUCGCAUCACGUCAUGGAAACAUGAAAAAUUAAGCUGAAAGGUAGAAAAUGGGCCGUAAAUUGCUCUUAGCGGGUCUGUUUGGUUAAUUGAGGAGUGCCUGUUAUCUUGGGCUUAGAUCCGCUCUGAGUUCAGUUCAAUCAAAAGUUGUGAUUUUUGAUAGUUUUAUUUUUGGUUAAUUGAAGAAAAGGCAAAGGUUGGUACACUAUAAAGGAUCACUUACGGAUUAAAGGGAGAAGGCACCUCUAAUCGGAGCAGAAAACUUGUGCCCACGUUGAUGAGAACAUUUGAAAUUUGAAAAUCGAUGCCCAAGUCUUUCCAGAUGGAGGGCUGGGGAACUCCUUCCAACCCACCCUUGAAGUCUAAAUGUGCAGCCUCUGAGCUGUUGAGUAGCUAUUAUGCGUGGUCCCUGGGAGCUGCCAGGCUCUGCCUUUGAGCUCACAUCUGUCUGUAUACGUUUUCCUGUAAGCAUUUAAGAAAAUCUACCACUUUGUAUAAGUGAGCUGGGAGAAGGAAACAUGGGUUUUUUCCGGUUGAAGCCCAUGGACGACCCCACAGCACACAGUGUUUUUAGAAGGGAAGAGGAUGAUGGCUUUUCCCUCCAUUAUGCUAAUUACCAAGUGGUUAGUAUAAUAGCAGUCUGUCUUUUGAUAGCUCUGAACAUGAGUUUCUUUUUACAAAUUUCAAAAUCUUGGAGAACUAGCUUUACAUUUUCUGUGUAUUGUAAUUGUUUUUUCUUUAAUGUUUUGAUUUAUGACCCGAAUCUCCCCUAACUAAACCGGUAGCCAUGGAUUGUGGUAUAACCAAGCAUCUUAAGUGACCACCCAGUUCUUUGAUUUUGGGGGGUGUCCCAAGUGUUGGGCUGAGAGAAAUCAACUGUUCCCUAUUCUAAAAGUUUAAUCUGGCUGGAGGCACUUUCUUUAUGUUUUUCUGGAUCAUAGAUUACCUGAGAAUGUGAAAUGUGAAGUUAAUUUAGGCAUUCCAGAUCAGUGCUGGGGAGAGCCCAUUGGAGCUCGAUGGGGUCAGUAGUAUGUGUCAGCUUAAGCAUCCUAGUUUGAUGCGUGGGUUUGUUUUGGUUGGUUUUAGGCAAUCCUAGCCACCCUUGGCUUUCCCAUUAGACUGCAUUGCCUCUUUACGUUAAGCUUCCUUCAUUAAAUAGCCACUGCCAGAAUACCUGAGUGAGACCAACUGAAUUUUACUGUUGAAUAAUUGGGCUCAGUUUAGCUUUUCAUCAGGGUUGUCAUGGUACGGUCAUUUCAGUUCAAAGCCGAGUCAAGUCAGCUUUGGGAAGCCUCCCAGGCCUGAGUUCAGUUGACUCAGGGCUGUACUUGACGGCUUAUGGAAGAAACGGGGCCCUGAUGCAGGUCUGAGUGGUUCAGUGUGGACAGUUUGUCAGACCUCCCUCAUAGGUGGGGUGGGCUUCCCAGCUGCACACCUUUGACUGAGGGACUCUUCAUACAACCACUCCCCUUUAAACAGAGCUAGAAAUGGAGCUGGCUGGUUUUAUAAAACCACCACUUACAAAACUGCUUCACGUGGAUAUUGUUGAGACUAAACAUUUAUUUUUCUAAAUCAUGCGAGUGAUUGCUUUAGCUUGUAAAUCUCUAGCAUAAUUCAGGGUGGGUUUCUUUAUAAGCUGCUUACAGUGAUAUGGACAUUAAGAUUCAUGUAAUAUAUUAGCCUACUAACUUAAACAUGGUUUGUUUUUUCAGACAACUUGAUUUUAAGAAGAACGGUACAGUGUAAGGUUUCAAGUCUGCCUGAUCCAGUUUAAAGCACAAGGGCUAAAAGGAUUUUUUUUCCUUAAAAGAAGGAUCGGAAAAGAGCAAAUGUUUUAAGCUAUUGUAUUAUGUAAACAGAGAUCCCACCAAGAAAGUAUAAAUCAGAGCCGGGUGUCCAUGACAGUUGACAGACCUGUUUGGUGUGCCUGUUUUGCUAGGAGACCAGAGAACUUGAUGUACUGCAGACAGCUGAGUUACGCAUUUGGUUUUGAAAAAUUAUCUUGUGUGAGGAAUAUGAUUAUAACGUGAAUUUUUCCACAUCUUGGUGUCUGCUAGCUUGAAGUACAAGAAAAUGUUAGUAUUCUACUAUUUAUCUUGCAUUAAAACACUUUAACAUUGAAAACGUGGGACUAAUCAAAACAAUACAGUUUCUUCUUGGUUGCUGGCUGACUUGACCCAAGUCACUGCUCAAACUCUGUUUUCAUAAUAUGAUGGUUUUGGUGUACUCUUCAGAAGACAAAUGUCUGACUUGCGGGAAAAAAACAAACGUUUAGCCAUUUGCAAACAAAUUGUCUCUUUGCAAUUGUCUAAUAUAUGCACAGCAGCCAGUAGAAUUCCCCUUUUUAUUUUUUUUUCCCCGCAGACCAUCUUGAUUCAAAACAUCUAUCGUAAUCCCCAAAACAGUGCACAGACGGCUGACGGCUCACACUGUAAGUCCCACAGUUGGAGAAAUUUUUUUAAAACAAUGGUGUUAAAGAGCCCACUCUUAAUUGAGACAAAUAAUGUUGGCUUCUGAGCUGCUGACAUAGAGCUGUUGCAAACAGGACAAGGUGCUGGAACUCCUUGGCGCACACAGCAAGAACUUGAUACUUGGCCACGUUCAGGAGGCUUUUCCCUUCUAGGGAGGGUCACUGGCCCGGCCACCUCCAUUGAUUGACAUUUGUCAUGAGAGCAGGUCCGUCCAUGUGAAACGGAUUUCAACAUUUUGAGCCAUUCAUUGGUCUUUACAGUGACUGAACCCCUGGCCUUUAUUAAGUUCUUUGUGUAAAAUUAAAACUCUUAGGAAUAUUAAGGAAUCAAUGAGGUAAGUUGCCCAGUAAGUGUGGGUUUUAUUUCACCAUUAUAAUUUUUCCUCCAGGAAGUGGAGAUUUCAUGAUAUGUAACAAUUGUAUUUCUCUAAUACAGUAAUUUUUUUCCAUCAGUUUAUGUAAGCAUUAUUCUUUCCGAGUUCAUUAAAAAUUUUCUGCCACAUCUAAGAACAUUUUGGUGCUAGCCUGGCAAACUAUUUGUGCUUUUACCUGAAUUGGAAUUUUGAAAAGGAGAGUUUUCACGUUCUGUGAGCAGAAGUACAAGAUGGGCAUAUCAUGAGACCUCCGUUACACCGCAGUGUUAGGGAUUCAAGGCAGCCGCCAACUGAGAAAACGCCUCUGCUUCUCCAGAAAAUAACUUGCUCUCUUUUCAGCACUGAAUCUCAACUGAAGCACUUGCCAGAGGCAGCCGGUUAAGUGUUUACCUUUAAUUUUCCAUAAUAUAAAGUUGUUGCGUUUUGUAUUUCAGACCAUUGCCCUCUUGAACAUUUACCGUAACCCUCAAAACUCUUCCCAGUCUGCUGACGGUUUGCGCUGUGCCGUGAGCGAUGUGGAGAUGCAGGAACACUAUGAUGAGUUUUUUGAGGAGGUUUUUACAGAAAUGGAGGAGAAGUAUGGGGAAGUAGAGGAGAUGAACGUCUGUGACAACCUGGGAGACCACCUGGUGGGGAACGUGUACGUCAAGUUUCGCCGUGAGGAAGAUGCGGAAAAGGCUGUGAUUGACUUGAAUAACCGUUGGUUUAAUGGACAGCCGAUCCACGCCGAGCUGUCACCCGUGACGGACUUCAGAGAAGCCUGCUGCCGUCAGUAUGAGAUGGGAGAAUGCACACGAGGCGGCUUCUGCAACUUCAUGCAUUUGAAGCCCAUUUCCAGAGAGCUGCGGCGGGAGCUGUAUGGGCGCCGUCGCAAGAA
rnacentral:sRNA from 1 species